UACGAAGGGGGCUAGCGUUGCUCGGAAUCACUGGGCGUAAAGCGCACGUAGGCGGACUCUUAAGUCGGUGGUGAAAUCCUGGAGCUCAACUCCAGAACUGCCUUCGAUACUGGGAGUCUCGAGUCCGGGAGAGGUGAGUGGAACUGCGAGUGUAGAGGUGAAAUUCGUAGAUAUUCGCAAGAACACCAGUGGCGAAGGCGGCUCACUGGCCGGUACUGACGCUGAGGUGCGAAAGCGUGGGGGAGCAAACAGG
rnacentral:rRNA from 1 species